rnacentral:rRNA from 1 species
GGACUACACGGGUUUCUAAUCCUGUUUGCUCCCCACGCUUUCGUGCAUGAGCGUCAGUGUUGGCCCAGAAGGCUGCCUUCGCCAUCGGUGUUCCUCCACAUCUCUACGCAUUUCACCGCUACACGUGGAAUUCCACCUUCCUCUGCCACACUCCAGCUCCGUAGUUUCGAGCGCAAUUCCCAAGUUAAGCUCGGGGCUUUCACACUCGACUUGCAGAGCCGCCUGCGCACACUUUACGCCCAGUAAUUCCGAUUAACGCUCGCACCCUACGUAUUACCGCGGCUGCUGGCAC